UUGGCGAAUGGAACAUUUUUGUCCAACAUGGGGAAGUACCAUAAACAUUUGUAACUAAGUCAUCAGAUCGAAAAUAGUCUCCACAAAUUAAGACAUAGUUCUGCCACGAGUAUUUGUUUCUCUACUAUCAUCCACAAUUGGUUGGAUUCCAACUGAUUCACCAUGAUUACAUACUACAAUUGUUUCCUUGCUAUCUUGUACACCUGGCUCAAUGCAAAGAAAUUCAUCAGACUGGUAACUAUAAAAAAAAUUCCCUACUAUCCUCCUCCACAACUGGUUGAACAAAGUGCAACUCAACAUUACUCUUGAACAAUUUCAGCCAAUUGAACGUUGAUCCAGAUGAAACUCCACGUAGCAGAAGUGGCUUUGUUGACAAUUCUGGCUUGCUAUACUUAAGUACCGCCAUCCACCUGCCAAUGAAUUUUUUUGGAGUUUUGCUAAGAUGUUUCAACAAGAAAUUAAGUGGUACAAGCUUAAAUAUUAAAAGGAUAGGUACUCAAGAAAAUACUAAAAGCCUUCAUGUAUCAAUUUACAUUGGUAAAUAUCAAGUUUAAAUAUUAAAAGGAUGGGUACUCAAAAAAUAAUAAAAGCCUUCAUGUAUCAACUUACAUUGGUAAAUAUCAAUUGCGCCUUAAAUAAAGACCUUGACCAUUUUUUUUAGAAAAGGCAUAAACGUUGCAGAUUGAUUAGCUCCUUUGAAUUGAUUGGAACAACAAAAGAACGAAGAAACAGAAAGAGAGACAAAGACAAGAGUUGACGAGAAAACGAUUAGAGAAACAGAACAAAUAGACAAGAAGCAUAUUGAUCGAUCACCUCCUCCAAUUGCCUCUUCUGUUGAAGAGAAGCACUAAAAGGUAAUCUACAUUUUUUCACAAAAAUAUAAAAAAUAAAAAGAAACCUUUUUGGGUUCAUAUUAACAAACUAUACUACCUACACAGCCCUCCACCCCACAACAGCCAAGGAAUACUACUGAACAAGUUCUGGAUGAAACUUAUCAUUUCAAAAAAGACUUGACCUGAAUACCCAACAGAAGCAUCUUUUGCACAUGUUUUCACUUAUAAAAUAAAGGGAAAAUGACUUAUAUCUCGAAUAAUGUUGUCAAAUGUGGAUUGACUAACAUGAAAUUGUAAGCUAAAAUAGAGAAGUAAUAUGUGGCUCCCUUCUUUUCCUCCUAUCCAAUAUAUCCACAUACGUUGGUAGUAUUUAAUAGGGAAAUGAUAUUUCCACAACAGUUUUUGAUAUUUCCACACGAAAAGUGUCGCUAUAGAUCCUAUAGCGACGAUUUUUACAUCUACAGCGACACUUUGCGUGUGGAAAUAUCAAAAAUUGUUGUGGAAAUAUCGUUU
rnacentral:lncRNA from 1 species